CCCCCCCUCAAUUUUUAACGCUUAUUCGGUUUAUUUUUUAACCCGAGAGAGGCUGCCAUAUAGCGCUGUCACGUAGGAAGACCGUUUCAAAGAUAUAUAUAUAUAACAAAGAUAUAUAUAUAUAUAAAGACACGCCACCUCUGUUUUACUUCCUACCUUCCCCCCGCGCUGAGAAAAAUACCAGUGAAGCUGUAAAGAAGUGUAGAAACCUUGCCCUGCAGAUCAAGCUAAACACAGCAGUCAGCCUAGAGAGAUGUAUGUUAGAUGAAGGAAAGACAGCUGGUAAGUGGUGAACCAAGCUAUUCCAACAGGCAAAAUUGAUUUCUUCUGUGCAAGAGACAACCCCUGGUGCCAGUUCUGGGCAGGGACUGCCAGGCUGGGGUCUGAGUUAAGAAUAUACAGCACAAUCCUAUGCAUGUUAAUUCAGAAUAAAGUCCCACUGUGUUCAAUGGGGAAUAGUUCCCAUAAAUAGGGACAAAGCAUGAAAUGGCAACCUUUAAGAAUCAUACUGCCUUUCAAUUUAUUUCCAAACACAGUGAUCUUUAUUUUAAUUUGUGGAAUUUUGAAAGGACUGUUUCAUCUAGAAGUGAAGCAAGUCAUAUUACAAGUCAUAUUGCACCUCCAAUGAUUGUAUUGCACAGAUAAGAAGUUUCUUGCUCUUCACAGUCAAAAAAUAAUUUUCUCUAUUAUUAUUUUUAAGAAAGGAAUGGCACUGUAUGGCCUGUAGAAAAGAUUGCUUGCUUUUAGGAUAAAUGAUAAUAUGGGGAUGACUUUUCUGUGAUGGUCUUCCUAAAUGGAGUUAUGAAAAUUAAGAAAGUUGUUUCCUAAGUAACUUGGUAGAAAGAACAGCAGGUGCCUCAAUGUUCUAAGGAAACAUCUGGAUUCAAGAGGAACAAUUACCAUUCUAGGGCUAACAUAUGUCUGGAUUUCCCUAGACAUUACUGGGAUUUCAAAGGCAGAAUUGAUGUUGGGAGAAUUUCUGAAAGGCGGCACAUUAUCCUGGAUUUUAGGUACAGGUAGUCGAAAAAAUGUGGGGUGUUUUUUUGCGUUUUUGUCUUUAAAAAUUUCAGCAACUUUUUGGGUGUCCUGGUUUUUACUUUUUGAAAUAUGGCAACCCUAAGUUAGGCUGUCAAGGAACAGUGACAUAUCCUUUGUGAUAUCAUUAACAUAGUUUAAAAGUCAGCUAGUCAGAGAGGUGUCAAGUGAGAACAGAUGGAGAUGAAGAGAGUCCGUCUAGGUUUGGCUGCUGCUUUGGGGAGAAGGGGGAGGGCUCUUAUGCUUCCAUGGACAGCUCACCCUUCUCAUCCUCACCCCUUUCUGGAAGAGGUGCUUUGGUUCUUAUGGAAUUGUUAAAAUGACUGUUGAUAAUAGUAUUAAUUAAUCUCCAAAUAAGAAACAGAAUAUAUUUUAUAUUUAAAAAGCAAGUCAUGGUCAAGUGAGAAUGGUCCAUGAUAAAUAAUUAAGAAUCUGAAGAGGUAAAUAAGUAAAAGCUAUACUUGUAUUAAGGAAUGAAUGGUUUGUUUUCAUAAACAGAUAAAAAAUUGGCUUAUAAUACUACUGUUUGGGUUUAAUGGUUUAUCUAAAUUUUGAGGAACUAUCAUUCAAAGUCACAAAAGUGCUUUUAAGUUUUGUUCAUCACCUAAUGGUUAAUAAAUUUUGAAUUAAGGAAUGUGUAAGCACAUUUCCUCAGAGAAAUUUCCGUCAAGCUCCCUGGAUGUUCUGCUUUUAUUUACCACUAUCCCCCCAACAAAACCUAAUUACUUGUGGCUAUUAAAAGAAAAACAUGAAGUCAUUAUCCUCACCAGUUUUUUACUAAGAAGAAAACGGGUCCUGCCUUCCAUCGUUUUGACCAAUGAGAGCAAAGGCACUGGAAUAACAGUAUAUCCAGGGGGUUUUCCAGCCGGAGAUCACCAGAACUCAGUUCCAGCAACUCUCAGCUGGGCUCCAUUGCUAUUAUAAGAAAACAAGGAAGGCGUUCAUGGGUGCUCGCUGGAUUCCUGCACGCUGCAUCCGCCUGCACCAUGGCGUGGCGACAGACCCUUCCGGAUCCGAUACCGCAGUUCAACCGCAAACUACAGAUCGCCCAGGAUGCGAUGUCCAGCCCCCCCAGGAUUCGCAAGCGGGGACAUCGUAAUGGACCUGUGACAUGGGGUCAAAUAAAAUCACUUUCCUUUCAGGCCGAACAGCUUAGGCAGGAAAGGCAGCUUGAAGCAACUCCUGAGAAUUUGCUUUUGUGCGUUAUUUCUUGUCUUAACAUUAAUUCAAUGGUAGUAAUCAUUCUCAGUGUUUUGUUUCUGCCUCUCUCGGCCUCCACUCCUAUUAGCAAUACCCACACUUCAAUGAAUGUGUGGGAAUCAUUUGCAAAAACACUCAAUGUCUCUUCCUUUUGUCUAACCCAACAGGUAUCAAUUGGUGAAAUCCUUGGCUCCUGCCUUAUCCCUGUUUGCCAUGACCCUUUAGAUAUGCAAAAUGAUACCUGGUUUUAUUCAUCCCUACCCCAAAAUGAUUCUCUCCGCACCCUUGGUUAUUAUGGUUACCAUAACUGGGGUAACCAAGUGCGCUGACGCCCACCUCUGGCCAUUGACUUAUCAACCCCAUACGUGGCUUCAUUUAAUGUCACUUGUGCCCGUAUGGUGAAUUGCACAAAACCCAACUGUGUGCAAAUGGGCAAGGAUAAUUUUAAUUGCUCCGAUUAUGUAAAUAUUUCCUAUGUAUACAAAUACACUGAGCUGCCUGCAGGCUGGUUCUGGUCGUGUCCCGGCUAUACAUUUAAUUACAUUCCAGCAAACAUCAGCCAUGGCACACCUUGCUGUUUAAGCCGUUUGUCCAUCGUGUUACCUAAAAAGCAUCAUUUGACCCGCUCUCGAAAUCGCCGCUCUGUUGAAUUGACUAACGAUUGUGAUGAUUCAAUUUCUCUUCCCAGUAGGUCUGAAUAUAUCUCUUUAGCUGUUUCCCUCCUAGGAGUCCCUGGCUUGGCUGUACGCAACAGUAGAAACAUUAAUUCUUUAGCUUGUUCUGCAGCAAAAGCACUGAAUUACACUUCUCAAGCCCUUCACCUUCUGAAUAAAGAGCAAAGUGAACUCCAACAUGGUUUUCUGCAGAACCGCGCUGCUAUCGAUUAUCUAUUGAUGCUUCAUCAUUAUGGCUGUGAACAAGUGGCCGACAUGUGUUGUUUUAAUAUCACAGAUAAUUCUAAAGCCAUUCAAAGCCAAAUCUCUCAUUUACAAAAUCUCACACACCACAUUAAACAAGACGUUGGAUUUUCUGGCCUCUGGGGUUCUUUUACCCAGUGGCUUACUGCUUGGCUACCUAAUCUUACUUGGCUUCGUAAUCUCUUUCAAUAUGCCCUUGUCAUUAUAUGCAUCUUAAUUUUGUUAUGUUGCUUCCUCCAAUGCGUUCCUGGCCUCAUAAGUCUUUUCUCUCGGCUUCUCUCUCCCCCUCAACCACCUAAUAAACUCCUUGCUGCCUACUUUGCGAAAUGGCAACACCAACAGUAAACCUAAGGUGAGAUGUGGACGGACUUAUUUUGGGCAUGCGCUGGCAAACCACGUAUCCCGAAAUAUUUCUGUCCUAUCGACCCUGGCGAACUUAUUUUGGGCAUUUGCUGGCACACCACUAAUCCUGAAAUAUUUUUGCCUUAUUUACCCAGAACGCCUCGCAAACAAGAAAAGAAAGGGGGAGAUAAAGGGAAGUCCUCUUUCUGCAUAUA